GAUUAAAUGGCUGAAGUUUAGGCGAUAAAUUGUAAAUUUAUUUAUGGGAAGUAUUCUCUUUAAUC
rnacentral:tRNA from 1 species